GUUCACACGCAGGUGUGGGGGUCCACUCGGCUCUUAUUCCUACUUUUGUGCAUUUUGAGGGUCUGUCUUCAGUUGGUUUAUAUCACAUCACUCCAAAAUUGCAGGACAUCAUGUUCUUUGUACUCUUGGAUAUCGCGAUCAGGCACAUAACCAUUUUCUAUCGGAGGUACUGUACAUUUAAUCUCU